UACGUAGGGUGCGAGCGUUAAUCGGAAUUACUGGGCGUAAAGCGUGCGCAGGCGGUUUUGUAAGCCAGAUGUGAAAGCCCCGGGCGUAACCUGGGAAUGGCAUUUGGGACUGCAAGGCUUGAGUGCGGCAGAGGAGACUGGAAUUCCUGGUGUAGCAGUGAAAUGCGUAGAUAUCAGGAGGAAUACCGAUGGCGAAGGCAGGUCUCUGGGCUGACACUGACGCUCAUGCACGAAAGCGUGGGGAGCAAACAGG
rnacentral:rRNA from 1 species